rnacentral:rRNA from 1 species
GACGAACGCUGGCGGCGUGCUUAACACAUGCAAGUCGAGCGGUAAGGCCCUUUCGGGGGUACGACGAGCGGCGAACGGGUGAGUAACACGUGGGUGACCUGCCCUCAGCUCUGGGAUAAGCCUGGGAAACUGGGUCUAAUACCGGAUGUGACCACAUGUCGCAUGGUGUGUGGUGGAAAGUUGUGCUCUUCGGGGUGCUUCGGUUGGGGA